UANGUAGACUGCUCAUGAUAUUAAAUAGCCGCUUUUGUGCUAAGGUAGCAUAAUCAUUUGUCUUUUAAAUGAAGACUAGAACAAAAGAUUUAACAUUUUAAUAAAUAUUUUUCAUUAAAUAGAUUUAAAUUAUCCUAAAAGUAAAAAGACUUUUAUGAAUUAGAAAGACGAUAAGACCCUAUUGAACUUAACUCUUGUUAAACUGGGGAAGUUAAUUAAUUAAUAUUUUAAUAAAAUAUAAUAUAAAAAUUGAUCUAAUAGAAUUAAACUUCUGAUCAAGUUACCAUAGGGAUAACAGCGUAAUAUAAUUUACAAGUUCUUAUAAUAAAAUAUGUUUACGACCUCGAUGUUGAAUUAAUAACCUAAUUAAAGCAGAAAUUAAAAAAGGAAGUCUGUUCGACUUUUAAAAAAUUACAUGAUCUGAGUCAAANCCCGGAGA
rnacentral:rRNA from 1 species